AGGAGCUUGCUCCUUGGGUGGCGAGUGGCGGACGGGUGAGGAAUACAUCGGAAUCUGCCUAUUUGUGGGGGAUAACGUAGGGAAACUUACGCUAAUACCGCAUACGACCUACGGGUGAAAGCGGAGGACCUUCGGGCUUCGCGCGGUUGGAUGAGCCGAUGUCGGAUUAGCUAGUUGGCGGGGUAAAGGCCCACCAAGGCGACGAUCCGUAGCUGGUCUGAGAGGAUGAUCAGCCACACUGGAACUGAGACACGGUCCAGACUCCUACGGGAGGCAGCAGUGGGGAAUAUUGGACAAUGGGCGCAAGCCUGAUCCAGCCAUGCCGCGUGGGUGAAGAAGGCCUUCGGGUUGUAAAGCCCUUUUGUUGGGAAAGAAAAACAGUCGGUUAAUACCCGAUUGGUCUGACGGUACCCAAAAGAAAUAAAGCACCGGCUAACUUCGUGCCAGCAGCCGCGGUAAUACGAAAGGGUGCAAGCGUUACUCGGAAUUUACUGGGCGUAAAGCGUGCGUAGGUGGUUGUUUAAGUCUGUUGUGAAAGCCCUGGGCUCAACCUGGGAAUUGCAGUGGAUACUUGGCAGGCUAGAGUGCGGUAGAAGGGUAGUUGGAAAUUCCCCGGGGU
rnacentral:rRNA from 1 species